rnacentral:rRNA from 1 species
UACGUAGGGAGCAAGCGUUGUCCGGAAUCAUUGGGCGUAAAGCGCGCGUAGGUGGCCUCAUAAGUCCGCUGUGAAAGUCAAAGGCUCAACCUUUGAAAGCCGGUGGAUACUGUGAGGCUAGAGUACGGAAGAGGCGAGUGGAAUUCCUGGUGUAGCGGUGGAAUGCGCAGAUAUCAGGAGGAACACCGAUGGCGAAGGCAGAUCUCUGGGCCGUAACUGACGCUGAGGAGCGAAAGCGUGGGGAGCGAACAGG